rnacentral:lncRNA from 1 species
GGGGGGGGGCGGGGGGGAGGGCGGCACGGCGCGGGGGGGGGGGGGCACGCACCGGGGGUCCGCGCGCCGUCGGUCUGCGCACCGUGGGUGGCAGCGCCGUGGGUCCCCGCGCCGUGGGUCGCAGCGCCGUGGGUCCCUGCGCCGUGGGUCCCCGCGCCGUGGGUCCCCGCGCCGUGGGUCCCCGCGCCGUGGGUCCGCGCGCCGUGGGUCGCAGCGCCGCGGGCCGCCCCGCAGGCAUCACGGCGCUGUGGUCGCUGGCCAUCAUCUCGUGGGAGCGCUGGUUCGUGGUGUGCAAGCCCUUCGGCAACGUCAAGUUCGACGGGCGGCUGGCGGUGGCCGGGAUCCUCUUCUCCUGGCUCUGGUCCUGCGCCUGGACCGCGCCGCCCAUCUUCGGCUGGAGCAGGUGGGGGGGGGCUGCCCCACGGCUGCCCCACGGCUGCCCCACGGCCGCCCUAUAGCCACCCCAUAGCCUGCCCCACAGCUGUCCUGCCCCACAGCUGCCCCACAGCCGCCCCACGGGCACCCCAUAGCUGCCCCACAGCCACCUCAGAGCCACCCCAUGGCCACCCCGUGCCCCACAGCCGCCCCACAGCUGCCCCACAGCCACCCCACAGCUGCCCCAUAGCCACCUCAGAGCCACCCCACGGCCGCCCCGUGCCCCUCAGCUGCCCCAUGGCUGCCCCAUAGCCACCCCACGGCCACCCCAUGCCCCACAGCCACCCCAC